UACGGAGGAUGCAAGCGUUAUCCGGAAUGAUUGGGCGUAAAGCGUCCGCAGGUGGCAAUGUAAGUCUGCUGUCAAAGCGUCUGGCUCAACCAGAUAAAGGCAGUGGAAACUACAUAGCUAGAGUAAGGUAGGGGUAGAGGGAAUUCCUGGUGUAGCGGUGAAAUGCGUAGAGAUCAGGAAGAACACCGGUGGCGAAAGCGCUCUGCUGGACCUAAACUGACACUGAGGGACGAAAGCUAGGGGAGCGAAAGGG
rnacentral:rRNA from 1 species